rnacentral:rRNA from 1 species
GAUGAACGCUGGCGGCGUGCCUAAUACAUGCAAGUCGAGCGAACGGACGCGAAGCUUGCUUCUCUGAUGUUAGCGGCGGACGGGUGAGUCACACGUAGCUUACCUACCUAUCAGACUGGGAUAACUUCGGGAAACCGGAGCACAUACUGGAUCAUCUCUUGACCCGCAUGGUUCAAAAGUGAAAGACUGUCUUGCUGUCACUUAUAGAUGGAUCCGCGCUGCAUUAGCUAGUUGGUAAGGUAACGGCUUAACAAGGCACCGAGGCAUAGCCGACGUGAGAGAGGGAUAGGCGACACGGGAACGGGAACAGGGACAAGAGUACUACGGGAGGCAGCAGAAGGGUAUGGUAGGCAGUGGGCGAGAGCCUGACGGAGCAAGGCCGAGUGAGUUAUGAAGGUCCUGGGAGCGUAAAGCUCGGUUAUGAGGGAAGAACAUAUGUGUAAGUAAAAGUGCAGAGCUUGACGGUACCUAAUGAGAAAGCCACGGCUAACUACGUG